ACGCUGGCGGCAUGCCUAAGACAUGCAAGUCGAACGGAGUUUCACUCCUGCGGCGGACUUCGGUCCAAAGCUUUGUGAAACUUAGUGGCGAACGGGUGAGUAACAGGUAGACAACUUGCCUCAACGACUGGGAUAACACUGGGAAACUGGUGCUAAUACCGGAUAGGAUAUAGAUUCGCAUGAAUUUAUAUUUAAAGAUGGGUUAAACCAUCACGAUGAGAGAGGUCUGCUUCGUAUUAGCUAGUUGGUAGGGUAAUGGCCUACCAAGGCAAUGAUGCGUAGCCGAGCUGAGAGGCUGAUCGGCCACACUGGAACUGAGACACGGUCCAGACUCCUACGGGAGGCAGCAGUUAGGGAUAUUCGGCAAUGGACGAAAGUCUGACCGAGCAAUGCCGCGUGAAUGAAGAAGUAUUUCGAUAUGUAAAGUUCUGUUGUAAGGGAAGAAUGGUUGUGAUAGGAAAUGAUCACAAUUUGACGGUACCUUACCAGAAAGCCCCGGCUAACUACGUGCCAGCAGCCGCGGUAAUACGUAGGGGGCGAGCGUUAUCCGGAAUUAUUGGGCGUAAAGGGUGCGUAGGCGGCCUUAUAAGUCUGAGUUGAAAGCCCACGGCUUAACCGUGGAGGGUGCUCGGAAACUGUAAGGCUUGAAUCCAGAAGAGGCAAGUAGAAUUCUAUGUGGAGCGGUGGAAUGCGUAGAUAUAUGGAGGAAUACCAGUGGCGAAGGCGGCUUGCUGGUCUGGGAUUGACGCUGAGGCACGAAAGCGUGGGGAGC
rnacentral:rRNA from 1 species